CCUACGGGUGGCAGCAGUCGAGAAUCAUUCACAAUGGGGGAAACCCUGAUGGUGCGACGCCGCGUGGGGGAAUGAAGGUCUUCGGAUUGUAAACCCCUGUCAUGUGGGAGCAAAUUAAAAAGAUAGUACCACAAGAGGAAGAGACGGCUAACUCUGUGCCAGCAGCCGCGGGAAUACAGAGGUCUCAAGCGUUGUUCGGAAUCACUGGGCGUAAAGCGUGCGUAGGCUGUUUCGUAAGUAGUGUGUGAAAGGCGCGGGCUCAACCCGCGGACGGCACAUGAUACUGCGAGACUAGAGUAAUGGAGGGGGAACCGGAAUUCUCGGUGUAGCAGUGAAAUGCGUAGAUAUCGAGAGGAACACUCGUGGCGAAGGCGGGUUCCUGGACAUUAACUGACGCUGAGGCACGAAGGCCAGGGGAGCGAAAGGGAUUAGAUACCCCUGUAGUC
rnacentral:rRNA from 1 species